rnacentral:rRNA from 1 species
GCCCUUAUUCCGGUUGAUCCUGCCGGAGGCCAUUGCUAUCGGAGUCCGAUUUAGCCAUGCUAGUCGUGCGAGUUCAGACUCGCGGCACCGAGCUCAGUAACACGUGGCCAAACUACCCUACAGAGACGGAUACCCUCGGGAAACUGAGGUUAACCCGUCAUACCGAUCUCAGGCUUGAAUCGCAGAGAUCACAAAACGCCCCGGCGCUGUAGGAUGUGGCUGCGGUUGAUUAGGUAGACGGUGGGGUAACGGCCCACCGUGCCCAUAAUCAGUACAGGUUGUGAGAGCAAGAACCUGGAGACGGAAUCUGAGACAAGAUUCCGGGCCCUACGGGGCGCAGCAGGCGCGAAACCUUUACACUGCACGCACGUGCGAUAAGGGGACUCCGAGUGCGAGGGCAUAUCGUCCUCGCUUUCGUGUACCGUAGGGUGGUACACCAACAAGGGCUGGGCAAGACCGGUGCCAGCCGCCGCGGUAAUAUCGGCAGCCCGAGUGAUGGCCGAUCUUAUUGGGCCUAAAGCGUCCGUAGCUGC